AACGAACGCUGGCGGCAUGCCUAACACAUGCAAGUCGAACGGGAUCCUGGCUUCGGUCAGGUGAGAGUGGCGGACGGGUGAGUAACGCGUGGGAACCUGCCCAGUGGUGGGGGAUAACUGCGGGAAACUGCAGCUAAUACCGCAUGAGCCCGAGAGGGGAAAGAUUUAUCGCCAUUGGAGGGGCCCGCGUUCGAUUAGGUAGUUGGUGAGGUAACGGCUCACCAAGCCGACGAUCGAUAGCUGGUCUGAGAGGAUGAUCAGCCACACUGGGACUGAGAUACGGCCCAGACUCCUACGGGAGGCAGCAGUGGGGAAUAUUGGACAAUGGGGGCAACCCUGAUCCAGCAAUGCCGCGUGAGUGAUGAAGGCCUCGGUUGUAAGACUCUUUUGGUCGGGGGACGGAAGUGAUGACGGUACCGCAGAAUAAGACCCGCGUAACUCGUGCCAGCAG
rnacentral:rRNA from 1 species